rnacentral:rRNA from 1 species
CGAGCGGACCGACGGGAGCUUGCUCCCUUAGGUCAGCGGCGGACGGGUGAGUAACACGUGGGUAACCUGCCUGUAAGACUGGGAUAACUCCGGGAAACCGGGGCUAAUACCGGAUGCUUGAUUGAACCGCAUGGUUCCAAUCAUAAAAGGUGGCUUUUAGCUACCACUUACAGAUGGACCCGCGGCGCAUUAGCUAGUUGGUGAGGUAACGGCUCACCAAGGCGACGAUGCGUAGCCGACCUGAGAGGGUGAUCGGCCACACUGGGACUGAGACACGGCCCAGACUCCUACGGGAGGCAGCAGUAGGGAAUCUUCCGCAAUGGACGAAAGUCUGACGGAGCAACGCCGCGUGAGUGAUGAAGGUUUUCGGAUCGUAAAACUCUGUUGUUAGGGAAGAACAAGUACCGUUCGAAUAGGGCGGCACCUUGACGGUACCUAACCAGAAAGCCACGGCUAACUACGUGCCAGCAGCCGCGGUAAUACGUAGGUGGCAAGCGUUGUCCGGAAUUAUUGGGCGUAAAGCGCGCGCAGGCGGUUUCUUAAGUCUGAUGUGAAAGCCCCCGGCUCAACCGGGGAGGGUCAUUGGAAACUGGGGAACUUGAGUGCAGAAGAGGAGAGUGGAAUUCCACGUGUAGCGGUGAAUGCGUAGAGAUGUGGAGGAACACCAGUGGCGAAGGCGACUCUCUGGUCUGUAACUGACGCUGAGGCGCGAAGCGUGGGGAGCGAACAGGA